AUUGAACGCUGGCGGCAUGCUUUACACAUGCAAGUCGAACGGUAACAGGCCGCAAGGUGCUGACGAGUGGCGAACGGGUGAGUAAUGCAUCGGAACGUGCCCAGUCGUGGGGGAUAACGCAGCGAAAGCUGUGCUAAUACCGCAUACGAUCUAUGGAUGAAAGCGGGGGACCGUAAGGCCUCGCGCGAUUGGGGCGGCCGAUGUCAGAUUAGCUAGUUGGUGGGGUAAAGGCCCACCAAGGCGACGAUCUGUAGCUGGUCUGAGAGGACGACCAGCCACACUGGGACUGAGACACGGCCCAGACUCCUACGGGAGGCAGCAGUGGGGAAUUUUGGACAAUGGGCGCAAGCCUGAUCCAGCAAUGCCGCGUGCAGGAAGAAGGCCUUCGGGUUGUAAACUGCUUUUGUACGGAACGAAACGGUCUGGGUUAAUACCCUGGGCUAAUGACGGUACCGUAAGAAUAAGCACCGGCUAACUACGUGCCAGCAGCCGCCGUAA
rnacentral:rRNA from 1 species